rnacentral:lncRNA from 1 species
CUCUCUCAAAAUUCCAUAUAAAUACCACUGCAACACCAAUCUACAAAUCAUCAACACAAAAAUUGUUAGUAAACAGUCAAACUCAAUUCAAUCUUGAAAUAAAGAAAAUGGGUAAAGAAUCGAGGUCGGAGCCACCGGCGAGUACGGCGGCGGCAAGGACUACCAAGAUCCUCCGCCGGCGCCUUGAUCGACGUGGAGGAGCUGGGAAAGUGGUCAUUUUACAGAGCCAUCAUCGCUGAAUUCGUCGCAACCCUUCUGUUCCUCUACGUCACUGUCCUCACCGUCAUCGGUUACAAGAGCCAGAGCGCCGCCGACGAGUGCGGCGGCGUUGGCAUUCUCGGCAUCGCCUGGGCCUUCGGCGGCAUGAUCUUUAUCCUCGUUUACUGCACCGCCGGCAUUUCCGGUGGGCACAUAAAUCCGGCGGUGACAUUCGGGCUUCUGCUAGCCCGAAAGGUGUCGUUGGUUCGGGCCGUGCUGUACAUGGCGGCGCAGUGCUUAGGCGCCGUGUGCGGGUGCGGGCUGGUGAAGGCGUUCCAGAAGGCGUACUACGUCAACUACGGCGGCGGUGCCAAUGAGCUCGCCGAUGGGUACAGCACCGGCACCGGCGUCGCGGCCGAGAUCAUCGGAACAUUUGUCCUCGUCUACACUGUCUUCGCCGCCACCGACCCCAAGAGGAAUGCCAGAGACUCCCACGUUCCGGUCAGUACAUAACCUAUAAAUACACCAACUAUACUUAAAUUUCACUCCCUCCAUCCCACUUAUUUAUAUAUAUAUAUUUUCUCAUUUAUAAUUACACUCUUAACACCUUAUUCUUAAUCUUUGUGUACAAAGCAAAUGUGUCAAGAUAAGUGGGACGGAGAGAGUAAUUUUUAAUUCGUGAUAUUACAAAAACUCUUAAUAUUUUGAAAUUCGGAUUAUACUUAAUUACAUGAAAAUAAAAAAUUAAUUAUGUAGCAAUUGGAUUUGAAUUUGCAUUAUAGGUUUUGGCGCCACUUCCAAUUGGAUUUGCAGUUUUUAUGGUUCACUUAGCGACCAUCCCGAUCACGGGUACGGGCAUCAACCCGGCCCGAAGUUUCGGAGCCGCAGUCAUUUAUGGCAAAGACAAAGCCUGGGAUGAUCAAGUAUGCAUAUAUAUCAACUUUGAAUUUUAUUAAAUGGUCUCACAAAUCAUAUAAAUUAACACUAAUACAUUGCUUUCGAUCAAUUAUUGCAGUGGAUUUUUUGGGUGGGGCCCUUCGUCGGAGCAGCCAUCGCUGCAAUCUACCAUCAGUUCGUUCUUCGGGCCGGAGCAGUAAAAUCUUUUGGAUCGUUCAAGAGCUCUGCUUAUUGAGAAUCAUUUUCUGAGUGGGGAUUAAAUUAAUCCUUCAAGAUUGGAUUUUCUGGUAGAGAAAUUGUAAAUUAUUAAGUAUUCGUGGUGUGCUGUUUGGCAAACGGGCCCUUGUUUUAAGAGCCCGACCCGUCUGUUUCGGGCCUAUGUUUUGAGUUUGGAUUGCUGCUCUGCUUAUGAGAAUUAAUUAAUGUUAUUGCUAGUUGCAACCUAUUUAAAAAUUUAAUGGUCAAAACUCCAGUGCUAUUGUUAAUUAGGGCUGACAAAUCGUGCGUGUCGGAUCAUUAUCAGAUCGACCUGAUAUCGACACGACCUGAUAAGGUCAAAUCUGAACACGACCUGUUAAGGAAGUGCUCGACACGAACACGAAUCCGACACGAUUUACUCAAACCCGAAUACGACACGAAUCCAAUACGAAUACGAUAACAACACGAUUUGAAUCGUGUUGACACGAUACAAUAACGACACAAUCUGAUUAAAAUCUGAUUAAACAUGAAACUCUAAAGACUAAAGUGUAGAAAUAGUUAAAAAAUUUAAAAUAAAUAUUUAAUAAAAAUAAUAAUAUUAACUUUAGCAGGUGACACGAACCUAACACGAAAUUAUCAGGUUCUUAUCGGGUCGACACGAUAAGGACACGAACCUGAUAAGGCUUUCAUUUCGUGUCAAAAAUUAAUUUCGUACGAUUUCGUAUCGUGCUUUCGUGUCGUGUCAAAAAUUGUCAGCUAUUGUGAUUAAUUGUCUAACAUUAAAUCGUUAUUCAUUACAAAAGUUACGGGAUAUCUCGUAUCACACUUAAAACCUAUUACUUGUAGAUUGGAGUCUAAAAAAUAAAAUCAUAAUCUAUAAAUUUAUCGAACCCUUUGAGGAGGGUUAAUACUUUAAUAUAUAAGAAUCUUAUUCAAGAACAAAAAGUAUAAUUAUUGCAUGUAUAUUACUCUUAGAAAUCACUUAAAAUUAAUGUCCUUAAUUUCGUGUGGAAAUUAACAUGAAUAUUAAAUUACCGUGUGUAUUGUCAAUUGUGUUUCACUAAAUAACGAUAAUAUAAAUUUCCAAUGGGACACCAAACGAUGCGAACUUUUGUCUACGAUUAGUGAGGUCCAGGGUUUAAACCCCAUCGCUCCCCUCCCCUAAAAUGUCAAAAAUAUAUAUAUAACGAUAAUAUAAAACAGAAUGCUCUGUUUAAGCAAAAAUGGACUACAUAGAUGGAAUUCACAGAGUAUACGCUUGCAAAAUUUUGUAUAUAUUGAAUAAUAAAUGAAACAAAACAUGUGAGUUUAUUUAUCCAUGAAUUAAGUGAUGUAGUGCCGACAGUUAUCAAACUAUGCCUCUCAUAUAUCUCAUCCAAAUUAAGUAGAAUAUAUUAAUUACUAAUUAUGUCUAUUUAUUGGUGGGAUACACAAAUAUGGUUCUUACGGGUAAAUUAGUUGCAUGCUUUGAUGCUUGGUAUUGAUUUUUCUUUGGAUUUUGGAGAAUGAUUUCGAGUCUAUAGUUAUGUUUUCUGACUCUAUUUUGGCUAUACGCGUGCUUCAUAACCUUUGAGAAGUUUUUUAGCAGACAAGAAAGAAUAUUGUGGUUAAUUAUUGCCAUAUAUUGAUAUAUAUAAGGCGAUCCGCGAACUCGACUGCUUAUGAGAUAGUUCGUUAAUUAGUUCUCAUAAUAUAAUGAUCUGGAUGGGUGACUAUCCAUCAUGGCUUUUAGAUAUUGCUCAUUUCGUUAUUAAUAAAUAAAUUAUUUUCCCUUAAAAAAAUAAAAUUUAUGUAUAUUUAUUAUAAAUUUGAAUAAUAUAUAUUAUGUGAUAUACCCAAUAUAUUCGUAUAAAAAUGGGUAUUAUAUUGAACUUAUAAUUAUUAUUUUGUAUAUACUGCUACGAUAUGAAGCACUACAUUUAAGUUCGUUGGAACGAUUACAAUACAUUCCAUAUUGCCUUCGUAAAAUUCGUCAUAAGUUACGAUCCGUAUAACGUCUGUCGCUAAAUUUGUCAUAAUUGGUGAUCCGGUGUAAAUUCCAUCGUUAAAUUAGUGACAUAUAUAUAUACAAUAUUCAACUUAAUUUAAUAUUACUAUAAUCGGAAAUCGCACAUACGUACUAACUAGGCUACUAGCUAUUAAACUUUAUUUAUUUUUUUUUAUUAAUUAAGCUAAGAUCCUUAAUUCUAUAACGUCAUUUCUAGCUCACCAAUUAAAUUAAAAGGGCAAUGAUUCUAAUUUUAGCUAUCAUUCUUAAUAAUUACCUCAUUAUAAGAUGGGCUAAAUUCCAAGCACUAAUAAAUAAAACACUUAUAGCUAUAAUCAUCAGAUUACGGUUGAUUCUAUUUGGAUACCACUACUUAUCGUGAGAACAUAAUUAACCAUUAAAAUACAAUGCAUCUACUAUAUAAAUUAAUGCAUUCGCUAUUAAAUUUAAUGCAACCGAAAAUAAAAAAAAUUUUGCUCCCUUCAGGAUUCGAACCCAGGAUCUGCAUUCAUCCACCAAGAUGAUGCAUCCACCGUAGAUCUUGAUGAUCGAAUGGCUUAAAAUGGUUCUCCGUUCUAAUUUUAUUUAGUGGUUCUUAUUUGAACCUCUCCCUACUAUAUAUAUAUAUAUAUAUAUAUAUAUAUAUAUAUAUAUAUAUAUCAUUUUACUUUAGCAGCAAACAAACCCCUAACAUGUGUUACACAUGAUGUGUAGUAUUAAAAAACUUUAAAUUUGAUACAAGUAUAUAUAUUAAUUAUGGUCGUGAUUCGUUAUAUCUCAUGUAGAAUUCUUCUGAAAUUAUCUCAUACUCAUAGGUCAUAAUUGCUUUAAAAAGUUAAAUUAAACAUGUACCUGGCAUUCGUGGUGACAUGAAUUAACUAUUCAAUCAAAUUCGAUAAAUUAAUCACUACUAAACCAUCCAGUAUUUCUGAGUUGUAUUAUCAACCGAUACGCAAAUAAUUGAUGAAUUCUUUAAUUCAAAAGUUACGAAGGGAAACAAGAUAAGAAAAGAAAUUCUGUGAUAAUUCUUUAAGCAAUAUAUUAUUACCGACCAAAUAACCUAAUCCACAACCAAAAUAUUUUUACAAUUACUACUAAAAAAAAUUGUUAUCACAGACCACCAUCUCAUUGACAGUGACGCGAGGCUAUUUAAUAACCAAUAAAUAUUAUAAGAAUUUUAUCUUCUGUGUGUUUUAAAAGGACAUUAAGAGCUACUCUCGCUUCGAUCCUCCAUAAAUAUGUAUAGUUGAUCACAACAUAAAUUUUAAUAAAAAGUUAUUUGAAGUAUUGAUAGUAGAGAAAUGAUCUUAUAUAUAUUGAAAGUACUGUUAAGUAAAUUAUGGAUAAAUAAUGUAAGUCACAAGUAAAAAUUAUGUAUGAUAUAUAGUGUUCAAAAAUAGAGUGUUUAUAAAAUUUGGAGACGUAUCAAGAAGGAAAUGUAUGUAUAAUGGGUACAUGUUUAACAAAUAUAUAUGCACAUGACAUGAUUAAUAAUUAAUUCAUGCAUAAUUAAGAUAUUAACGCUUAAUUAUUAAAUCAGUUUUUUAAGGGUUAAUUAUGUAAUUAGUUAAGAUAUCAUUAUUGGUAGCUCGGUGAUGAUGGGUUGGGUUGAGAUAGUAUGUGGUGGCGGCGCUGGGGCCUUAGGAGUGAGGUGGCAAUUUGAAAAUUAAUUGAAGCAUAUGUCGAAAUUACUGCUAAUUUAAUUAACUCUGACUUUUCACAAAAUAAAUAUAAAAUAAAUUAAAAGGAAAUUUUUAAAUAUGUCUUGAUUACAUAAUUUACAUUCAAUGUAAUUAAUAUUUAAUUGAAGCACAGUUGGUUUCUCAUUUUAAGUCUUCAAAUGAUUAUUAACACAUCUAUCUGUUUCGUGCUCUAAAUCGAUAACAUUUAUAAAAUUAUUCUAGGGGUUAUAGCCAAAAAAUACACGAACUUUGAUAAAAGUUGCAAUUUUCACUUGAACUUUCAAAUUGGCCAAAAUAUACCUAAACUUAUAUUUUUUGUUGUAAAUUUCACCUCGACAGAGUUCAAUCAUUGCAAAUUCAGGUGAAAUUUACAACAAAAAAUAUAAGUUCAGGUAUAUUUUGGCUAAUUUGAAAGUUCAGGUGAAAAUUGCAACUUUUAUCAAAGUUCGUGUAUUUUUUUGCUAUAAUCCCAUUAUUCUAUAUUAUAUCAGGAUAAUAAACAACGAAAGUUUUAGAAAAUACUACAAUUUUUAAAAUUAAGGAGGACUUGGUGGAUAUAUAAAUGGUUUGUUAAUUCAUUCUUGUUCAUUUAAAGAAACAAUGCUAUUAAUACCUUUCUAAAUUUCAGCUAACUCGAGCAUGUGAUAUAGUCCCUCCGUCCCACUAUAUUUUAAAUUCUUUCUAUUUAAGGCGUCUCACUGUAAGUGCGACUCUUUUCUUUUUUAAUAAAGAUUUUACCCUUUAAACACAUUUUUACUUUUUCACCUACAAAUAAAAUACUCCCUCCGUCCCAAUAAAAGUGGCCACAUUUCCUUUUUGGGUGUCCUAUUAAAAGUGGCUACUUUCUAAAAAUGGCAAAAGUUUACUUUAAUUAAGUCAACAAUUACUCACUAAUUUGGUCAACAAUUGUAGGCCACUUUCUAAAAAUGUCAGAAUUACUCACUAAUUUGGUCAACAAUUGUAGGCCACUUUCUAAAAAUUACUCACUAAUUUUGGUGGGUCACACUCAAUUAAAACAUAACAAUCCCCUUCUUAAUCUCCGUGCCCAAAAAAAAGUGGCCACUUUUAUUGGGACGAAGGGAGUAUAAUUUUUUUAAUUUUCGUGUCUUAAAAAAAGGUCUCACAUUCACAUACAGUGGGACGGAGGGAGUAUAAGAGCAAUUGAAUAAAUGCAUAGUAGUAAUGUUUAAUAUAGAAAAGAAAAAGAAAAAGAAAAAAACAAAUAAAUAAUUAGAAAACAUUGACAGCACACAAUUAUUGAAAAAUAGUAGCCCGAAAGGGCGGUUGGUGGGGUCAUAUUUCACGUAAAAAAAAUCACAAAAAAUAAUAAAAGAAAAAUAGAAAAUCGAAGCUAAAUGUAGCGGGGCGGCAAAACUCAAUCAAUUAACUAGCAUCAAUAAUUUCUCCUAUUUCAUAUAUAAAUACCACUCCAAUUCCAACUCACAAAUCAUCAUCGCUACACACAAAAGAAAAAAAAAACUCAAAAACAAUUUAGUAGAGCUCGAAGAAGAGAAGAGAAAUGGGAAAAGAUAUUGAGGUUGGAGCCGCCGAGCACGGCGGCAGGGACUACCAAGAUCCUCCGCCGGCGCCGCUGAUCGACGUGGAGGAGCUGGGAAAGUGGUCGUUUUACAGAGCCAUCAUCGCUGAAUUCGUCGCAACCCUUCUGUUCCUCUACGUCACUGUCCUCACCGUCAUCGGUUACAAGAGCCAAAGCGCCGCCGACGAGUGCGGCGGCGUCGGCAUUCUCGGCAUCGCCUGGGCCUUCGGCGGCAUGAUCUUUAUCCUCGUUUACUGCACCGCCGGCAUUUCCGGUCAGCUCUCUCUCUAGACGCACACACAUCAAUAGUGGCGGAUUCAGGCACCCCCAACCAAUAUAUAGUUUUUUUUUCCCGCAUUUUUAGCAAAAAGUUUGAAAUUAAUUCUCUCAAACUAUUUCCAUGCAGGCGGUCACAUAAAUCCGGCGGUGACAUUCGGGCUUUUUCUGGCCCGAAAGGUGUCGUUGGUUCGGGCCGUGCUGUACAUGGUGGCGCAGUGCUUAGGCGCCGUGUGCGGGUGCGGGCUGGUGAAGGCGUUCCAGAAGGCGUACUACGUCAGAUACGGCGGCGGCGCUAAUGAGCUGGCCGAUGGAUACAGCACCGGCACCGGCGUCGCGGCCGAGAUAAUCGGAACCUUUGUUCUCGUCUACACUGUCUUCGCCGCCACCGAUCCCAAGAGGAAUGCUAGGGACUCCCAUGUUCCGGUGAGAAUAUAUAUAUGUAUACACCAAUUUUCAUCAUUAUUUUCUAAGUAUUUAGUUAGAAUAAAGUUUAAAUAAUGUAAAAACUUUAUGAUUUGACAAAAUAAUAUGUUUCCCAAAAAGUCCUUACUCAAAAUAACACAAGUCCCACUUCAAAUUUUUUUACUUAUAAUUGAAUUUAUUUAAAAUUAUUUCGUUUCCUUGUUUAUUUCUUAUUUAAUUAUGGAUUGUAGGUUUUGGCGCCACUUCCAAUUGGAUUUGCGGUGUUCAUGGUUCACUUAGCGACCAUCCCGAUCACGGGUACGGGCAUCAACCCGGCCCGAAGUUUCGGAGCCGCCGUCAUCUACGGCAAAGACAAAGCUUGGGAUGAUCAAGUAUGUAUAUUUAUUAAUUUUGAAUUAUAUUAAAUAAUCUCGCAAAUUAUAUAAACUACAAUUACAAACAUAAAAACUGAUUAUAUAUUAUACUUUCUUGCAGUGGAUUUUCUGGGUGGGGCCCUUCGUCGGAGCAGCCAUCGCUGCAAUCUACCAUCAGUUCGUUCUUCGGGCCGGAUCUUCAAAAUCUUUUGGAUCUUUCAAGAGUUCUUAUUGAAAAUCUUUUCUUGGGAGUUCGAAUAAGAAUUAAUCCUUCGAGAUUGAUUGGAGCAAUUGUAAAUUAAUGUUGCAAAUGUGCUAUUCUCAAAUUAAUGUGUGAAUUUUGUGAAGCACUUGUAUUCGUAUAAUAUUGGUUGCUGUAUUUUUAAUAUUAGUUGUUAAAUGUUACUACUUACUAAUAUAAAACGAGAAAUUGAGGAUGGAAUAUUUUAAAAUUAGGAUACCUAUGCAUAUAGACACAAUUGGAAAAGAUUCAAUAAAGUCUCUCGUGAAGGCCCAAUUUGGGUGCGGCUAGGCUACAUUAUUUUAGGCCUGACUAGAUUUCGAGUUGAAGUCGCAUUAGGCAUGUGAGUUCGGGCUGGGCCCGAAUAAAAAAUGUGGCCCGAUUUUUGGAUUGAGUUGGGCUGCUUUUUUAUGCGAUUUUGACAUCUCUAAAUAGAAGCAAGAAGUUCUAAAUGGAGUACAAUUUUAGUAUUUCGUUUAUUUAUAAUAGUGAUUAAAUAAAUGCACAUCCACAGUUCUAAAAAAAAUGCACAACCACAUCUAUUUAUUUAUUUUGUGCUUUGAGGGUAAGAACUUGUUUUUGCAUGAUAGUCCACGUUCAAAUUAACUAUACAAUUGGGCUUCGAUUUUUGAUUUGUGACACUUAGCCACAAGUUCGUCCACUUGAUCAUUAAUCUCACCAAAGGUCAAAAAUUCAUUUGACCUAAAUUUUCUUUUUUGAAUGGUCCAACGUAAUUUAACUUAUUUUCUUUCUGAGAUAUGAAUUUUUUAUAAUAAUAAAUAUGAGUACAUAUAUUUUACAUUACAAUCUUAUUCUUCUUAAUAAUUAUGUCGAAAAGAAUUAAGCUAAAUGAGAUGAGAUGCGAUGGAUGGAGAAUUUCUUAUGAAAAAAAUAAUAAUUAAAUGAGUUGAGCUGACUAGCAAACUAUUCAAAAUUGCCUGAAAAGUCUCUAAUAAAAUCAAUUCCUAGACUCAUAAACUCACAAGCUAACUUAAUAUAUAUAAAUUCCAAAUUAUUUAUUGAAUAUUUUAUUAAUUUUAAAAUAAAACGUAUACGUGAUUUAAUAUACUUAUAUUAAGGAAACAAGAUUAGAAAUUAAGUAGAUUUCAUCAAUUAUACUAUAAUUUCGAUCGAUAAAAGUCCACAUCGAGUAAUUGUUUGGUAAACAAAUUUAACUUUUGAGUUAUAUAUUAAACUCGUUUACAUUAGUGAAUCAAUCUCGAACUCGUGGAACAAUUGACUCAAUUCUCUACUUAAUUUCUACCAAGCCAAUAUGAAUUAUUGAUGCUCGACUCACUCAUUUACACUCUAGAAAUAGGCGUUUUGGAAUAGGGUUAGAUCUAUUAUGUUUACUUGAUUGGUCAAAACAUAGCUUUCCUUUUCUUUUUCUUUUUUCUUUUUAAAGUAUGCUCUUGUAAAUUUAUCAUGACGAAUGAGGAAUAAGAAAAGGUGCAAAAUUAAAAAAAAUUAUCAUGCUACCUUUUAUUAUCUCACCACUAUCUUAUGAUAAUAUAUUAUUAUAUAUGAAUUGGAGUGAAUAAAAAGAAAAAAAAAAAAAGCUGCUCAAACUUUUUUCAUGUUGCUCGGAAAAAUUAUCCACCACAUAGAAUAUGUGAAAAAAUUAAAAGUAAAAAUAGUAAAAAUUAUAUAUUUUCCUCGCUUUUCCGUAAUAGAAAAUGCAUCUUCCUUACCAAGUUGCUUUUCUUUUUGUUCUCUUUUUCUAGGUGCAACGUGCUUAGUAUAGCAUUCUCAAAUACCGCCGCAUCUAUACUAUAUGUAUUAAAAAGUCAAUAUUUCAAUUUGAAAUUAAUUUCAAAUUUGAGUGACAGUUUUGUAGUUAUAAUAAAAUUGAAGGUUUAUUUGUAAUUUUUUUUUCUUUUCAUUUAUCUUCUCUUUAUCUUUUGUUUUAUUAUUUAUUUCUAAAAUUGUGAAAUUCGACUGAUUAUAAAAUACUACUCCCUCCGUCCCACUUCAAAUGUCUCAAAACUAUAUGACAAUUCUAUAGUUUUGAGACAUUUAAAGUGAGACAGAUGGAGUAUUUAUUAUGCAUAUCAAAUUAAAGAUCAUGACAAGAGCUUUAAUUUGAUUUAAAAUAUUAUAAUUUAAAAAAAAAACUAUUCAUCUCUCAUUUUUUUGAAUAAUUUUUUUAUUUUUAUUUUUAUUUUUAUUUUAGUUUCAUUUUUUUUGCCUUUUCAUAAUAUCAAUUUUUAUUAUUGUGAAUUCUUCUUAAAUUUUUUUAAUAUUAAGCUCAAAUAUAUUCAAUUACAAUUAAUUUUUUAUUAUAUUUAUAAAUAUGAUAAUUGAGUUGGUAUUAAUUUUUAUAUGAAUAUAGAAAUAUAAAAACGUUUCUCGUGCAUUGCGACAUACAAGUGCUAGUAUAAAAACAGAGAGAAAAAAAGGGACUACACUGUAUUUUUUAUUGUAGUAAUUUAAUUGAGCUUAUUAACAUGCUAUUAAAUCCUUGCGUUUCCCAUUAUUGAGAGACGCAACAAAAGCGACAAUUCAUAUGGCACUUAAUAUACAAUAUUCGUGAUAAUCAACACUACGAAUAUUAAUAAUAAUAAAAACAAAGGUACGUGUAUAGUUGUGUGCAUUCAUAUAAAGCACACCGUUUUCUGCAAUUUCAAAACAAACAUAUGGUUACCAUUAAUAUCACAAUCUUUAUUGGCAAUAAUAGUACGUUUCAAUAUAUCCAUUAAUAAUAAUAUUGUAAAUAAGUGAAAGUUUAAUUAAGUUCUAGAUAUCUCAAAUUUGUAGUAAUAUAUAUCGCCGGCCCUUGUACGAGUAAUUUCGAAAUUCGAUCUCUAAAUGUUUUUUUAAAAAAAGAUAAUUAAUAAAAAAAAUUAUAGAAUGGGCGUUACCUAAUUAGAGGUGCAAAUGCAGCUGCCACUAUAAACGUACAUGGGCUCUUUGCCUACAAAUUUUUAGGUCUCUACCAAAUAUCCUCUACACAUCUGCAUAGUAUAGCUUGCCUCUCAAAACACAAGAUUCUAAUAAGACGGCUGCUUUUACUAUACUAGUAAUAGAUGGUACCGUACAAGUUAUGAAAUUAAACCAUACUAAGACGGCGUUUACUUUGAUGGAUAAAUUUAUCAAUGGAAAAAGAUGGAUAACAAAAAUUUAUGUCUUUAAAUGUCUCUAUUCUUUUCCAACAUUUGACACAAAAGUAUUUUUCUUUCUUAUUUUCACUUCAAGGAUGGAUAGUAUUAUCCACUCAAAAAUGAAAGGAUAGUAUUAUCCAUAGUGAAAAUAAGGAAGGAAAAAUGGUGAAUUUAUCUUUUGUGUUAAAUGAAGGAAAAGAAAUGAGACAUCUAAAGGUAUAAAUUUUUGUUUCAUCAUUUUUCAUGGAUAAAUUUAUCCAUCAAAAUAAACUCAGCCUAANNNNNNNNNNNNNNNNNNNNNNNNNNNNNNNNNNNNNNNNNNNNNNNACACACAUGUAUAUAUGUAUAUAGUUUCUAUAGUAUAUAUCCUUCGAAAUUAAAAAUAAGUAAGGAUAUUAUAUGUAAUAUCAAAAUUUAUAAACAUACACAUUUUUUUAUAAUAUAUAUAUUAUUCUCUCCGUCCAAAAAAAAUAAUCGUAGAAUAGACGUCACGAAUUUUAAUAAAAAAAAGUUUAGUGUAUUGUGAGAAGAAAGGGAGUCCCAUUAAAAAGUAGGACUCUUAAUAAUGAUAAUUAAUGGAUUGUGGUUGGAGAAAAAGAUCCAUUAUGUGAUAUAAAGUUUCUAAAAGAUGGAAAUAGANNUAUUUUUAUAAUAUAGCAAUGAUAGGACAGAUAAAGCAAUAGUUAAUAACCUUAGUAUUUCAAAUUAAUUAUGGUCUUCUUAUCUUUAAAAGUGCCCGCGGAAAACAAAUUUAUUAAAUUUACACAUUGUGAUCGGAGCUCUACCUAACUCUUAAUGGAGAUUAAAUCGAUCUUCUAUACAAGAAUAUUCUACUUAAUUAAUAAGAACAAGAUUGCACAUCUUUUAAACUUCUAUUUCUUUGAUAUUGGAGUUUAUCAAAAAAUGCAGCAUCAGAUAGCAAUUGCGAGUUUUUCCUCGUGACCCAAAAAGAAAGAGUUUUUUAUGAGGCUUCGUCCUUAUUAGCGUCGGUUGCUUGGUUUUAUUUUUCCUUUGUCUUUUAAUAAAUUUUUUAAUUCAGCCUCGUGACUCUAAAGAGUUGAAACUUGAAAGAGCCAAUCCAUUAGAGAGCAUGAUUGUAAGAUGCAUGAUUGAGUAUUCUUAUUCUCAAUAGUAUGAUUUCUCCAUUUCGAUUCACAUUUUCAAUAGGAUAAAAAUCAAGCAAAACUUAGGUUAAAUGAUAGUAGAAAUAAUCAAAACCUUGAAUUCCCAAAGUUUCAAUCCAUCAAAGCAAACAAGAGAUUAGUCUUACGAUUUUUAUCUAUGAAAGCUAAUCCUUCGAAAUAAACACCUCAUUAAUUAAUGUAUUAUUUAUUUAUUUAUGUAAAUACUAGUACAUUUAUCAUGACGUUGUUUUCGUACCGUACGUUAAUGUACAAGCCUGCUAAGCACAAGAACCAGUACAUGGUUCUGGUCCAACUAACCAUGGUCAAUGGUUGUACCCUUAAUCGCUCCCAACAUUGAUGGACAUUUAUAAGCAUAGCUAGGGUUAUUAUACUCCCAAAAACCCUAUUCAUUAAACCUUUUGAACAAAUUUGAGCUCACGUGUCAUCGUUGUAAUAUAAUAUAUAUAUAUAUAUUACACCACAAUUAUCAAACAGGUAUGUGCUGGUGUGUGUGUUUAAUUAUUUGUAGGUAAAAUGCAUGAGAAUCCCAGAUUGCAUAAGUUCCAAAUAGAAAGAGCUAAAGCAUGAAGGGUAAACAAAUUCUGCUUUAUGGUAUAGGAAAAGACGUAUAUCAAAUUACAGAUCUAAAGAUGAGGAGAUUCCAAGGCCCCCCUUUCAUACCUGGCAUCGUUGAGUUCAUACUUCUCCAAAACCUAUGUUCUGACAAAAAAAAGGAAACACUAAAGAAAUCAAGAAAUGAUGUUUCGUUUUCAGGUGAAGUGAUCCCUCUCUCACCAGUCUUAGCUUUUACACACUGUUUUAAUUAUUUCCAACUGAAAAUAAAAUAAAAAGCUAUAGCACCUAUACUUGCUUUAAAGGCAAUUGAUUUCUUUGAUUUUCUAGGUGUAUAUAAAUAUGGUAGAGUAAGUUUGAUGCUUUGAAACAUAUCAGUUUGUUCAUUUUUGAUCAAACCGUGAUAGGUGUUGGAGAAUUAAUGUCGGCAGUUUUCUCUCCGAGGUAUGUUUUGUGCGUGCCUGGCUCCCUGUAUGCCAUUUGCGGCGUCCCUCCGGAGGCGGAGGGCCGUCGUCAAUGGCAUGCGCGGAGCCAUGCAUGCUUAAUUAUAUUUCUCUCUGUCUUAUUUCGAAUUUAGAAUCUCUAGCUUCAAUUAUUCAAGCUUAUAUAGUUAUAUUGGUUGAGAAAUUCUUCAUGAUUUUUUUUAUUUUUUUUCAUUUUUUUGGGGGUAUAUAUCGAUCAUGUGCUGUGCUCAGCUGUGUCUAUCUGUGUAUCAUGUAAAUUUGUUGGAGAGAUGCUUCUUUAUUUGAUCGGUAAACAAUUUCUGACAGAUAUAUAUGUAUAUAUAUACCUUGAGAUUUACAUUUCCAAAUGUUUGAGUUACAAGGAAUUAAGCAAAAUCACUCGUAUAUAUUCCUAUGUUUAAUUUAGCCCAAUAUUAUUUGUACUGACCUUAUCUCUCAUCUUGUCAAACUGUCGGGCUCAAAAUUUUGGUGGGUCGAAACAGAGACCCGAUCCGAUUUGAUACGGGCUUUUUUGGGCCGGUAAUGGACAAAAUGCAUAAUUUUUCAAACCCGGUCCGAGCCACGGGCCAACUGAGGUCUGGUUCGGUUUGGAUUCUUUCGAGUUUUAAAGGGUUCGACCCAACCCAUGAUUGGGCCGGACUCAGUCGAUUUUGACAUCUCUAGUUAUCACAACCUUCAACAUUUUAAUUAGGCUGGAGUUUAUUAUUUAUCUUUUUAUUUUUUAAAGAUGAUCAAUAAUUAUUUUUUCAUUUCUUUCUUGUGAUAACUGAAGCCCACAAUUUGAAUGAUUGUCUUUAAUUUGAAAGCAUAGCGGCACGAUUUUUGAAAUCGGGGCGCUUCGUCAAGGUUAUUGGCAUUGUACAGCUCCUAUUGCCUGCAUCAGUUAAAUGCAAAAAUUAUAUUAUGGGAAGUUAUUGAAUGACUUGACACAUGUCUAAUUUGCUUAGGUGCACCUGCUCUCCAAAUUUCUGGUUGCAGUCGGAUAUAUAGGCUCUUCACAUAGGCGAUGAGAUAUGUUGUGAAUAUUAUAAAUGAUUAAAUGCAUUUAGAUUACUUUAUACUUAUUUGAUAAGUGAUAAUUAAAUUAAUUUAAGUUGCUGAAAUAUACUGAUGUACAUAUACAUGCAAUCACUCCGGCCAUAAUUCGAUAAAGUUUACCGUUAUGAAAUGUUACUUGACAACCUAGAUUAAUACCACCAAUAUAAAUGAUAUACGUGUGGUGUAUUGGCAUAGCGGUAAAAAAAAACAUUAUCCAAUUAAAAGAUAUUUCUUCGGUCCAUCAAAUAAUUUUCUAUUUUUGAAUUGUUCCUCAAAUAACUUACUAUCAAUUUUGGAAUACUAUCACACCACUAAUAUAUAAUACUUCAUUUAUUCAUAUUUUUAACCUCUUCACCACUUUUAUAAUAUAUUUUCAUCAGUUUCAAUAGACUCAACAACUUUAUCUUAAAAUCCGUACCCUUCUCUUGUAGGAAAUUAUUUGGGCCGGGGACUUUCCUAUAUAAAAUGUCUCUUAAGUAUAGAUCAUUGUUAAUAUUUUCAAAAUAAAAAUUCUUGAUUCAUGCAGCAAUAACAAUUCGUCUCCGUCUUGCAAAACUAAUCAUCUAUCCUUUUGUUACCUUUGUCAAAAUUAUAUAUGAUCCUCUUUUUCUUGUUAAAUAGUUAUUCCAUAAUAUUCCAUUUGCCAAUACAUUAUUCUUAAUGAUUUUUGAAAUCUUUUCUUUUUCUUUUCUAGAGAAAGUAAUGCUAUAUCAAAAAAAUAAAUAUAAGAACUCAAAACAAUAGUUCACCAUUUAUUUAUGUUGGACACAAUAUAAAUAUACUUUUAAGCUUGCAAAAGUAAAUCCACCCUAAAAGAAUGCAUUGACCAAUGGACUCGAACGAGACUGAUGUAUAAGAGCAUUGAAACGUGGACCAACCCCACCAAUUUGUUCCAUUAAAUUUAUACAUGAAUGGAUUCAUAAGUUUUACGAUGAAUUAGAAUAAUAAAUUCAUAAUUUUAAAUUUGAAUUUCAUAGAGAAUAAAAAAAAUUAAUUUUUGAAUCUAUAUAUUUCACAUCCAAUUCAUACAUAUUCUAUAUAUAUAAUUUAUGAAUUUAUUACUUGUUGUUUGAUUUUGGUAAUAAGUUAAUCAUUACCCUUACUUGAGGGUAAUCCAAUUACUGAAUCUAAUACCCCUCAAAAUAAAGGAAAUCCUUUAUUAGUGAUUCAUUUUCAUUGUUGAACCAAAUAUUCAAUAAAAGUACUAUUCCUCUCCUUUAUUUAAUUUCAUUUUAUUUUCAUUCCUCUAUAUGAACCAAACAAACACUAAUUGUUAACAAAAUUGGUAGUAUAAGUAUUAAUUUAUAAUUUCACAUCAAUUGAAUAAAUUGUUAAAAAAAGUUAUAGAAUAUUAUAAUAUCCUCAAUUAAUUGAAGAAGAUUAAUGAAUGAGCAUCAUUGAGGGAAGAUUAAAGUUAGUUAGUGGAAUUUAGCGAAGAAAGGAUAGCCAUUGCUAGUGGGUUAAAGCUUGGGCUUAAUGCUCCUGUCCUUUUGGGCGACUUCGAGCGGAAGGGCCCCCACCAUCUACUUGCUCCAUAUUUGAAAAUAUUUUAAGUCAUUAGUAUUUUUUUAUCAUAUAUUUUCUAUGUCCACAAAAAAUAGUCAUAUAAAGAUACGUGUUGUGAGUGGAGAAAAAGUCUCAUUUAAAAAGUAGUGUAAAUAAUGAUGAUUAAUUGUAUUGUGAGUUAAGAAAAUGGCCCACCAUGUGAUGUGAAGUUUUUAAAAAUAAAAAUAUGCUAAUUUUUGUAAACGUCUCAAAAUGACAAAAAUUGACUAUUUUUUGUGAACAAAUGGAGUAUAUUAUAUGAGUUGAGUAGUAGUUAUAGUAUAAAUUUAUUUAGAGUAAAAAUUUAAGAAUAUUGCAUUUAACUUAUAAAGUUAUUGUACUUAAUAUAUAAAAUAAUUGUAUUUUUAUGAUAAUAAAUUGUUCUAUAUAGUUAUGCUCUAUUUAGAUUCGAACCCAAGACUACUAAAGUGCAUAUACUUUAUAUAUAGGUCAAGUGCAAUUAUUUUAUAAAUUAAGUGUAUUAUAUUUAUAGUUUGUACGUUAAGAGGGAUUUUUAUUUGAUUAAAUUCAUAUAUAUAUAUAUAUUAUUGUAUAUUUUACUUGUAUUUAAAAUUAAUUGUGAAACGUUGGUCUUAGAAAAAAUCAUAUAAAAAUGUUUGGAUGAGAAUAGGAACUAGGAUAAACUAUUAUUUUAAUUAUUAUGUUUUUAAUUUUCUUUUAGUUGGACCUCACUUUUGACAUAAAGAAGAAGGUGCAUUCAUGAAAGGAUUAGAGCAUGAAAUAAAUUAAGAAUGAGUUUUAUUUUAGACAUACUAAGUUUCUGGCUAUCCCUAGGCAUUUCCAAAUUAAUAAGCUUUCAUUUUAAGCUAUGCAUCUUGUAAGUUACAUAAAUUGUGACUUUGUAAUUAUUUAUUCGUGGGUGUUUUAUUUCAAGAAGAUAAUGAUGUUCGCUCCCACCAUAUAUAAAAUUGUUCUCUUUCUAAAAUUCCGUCUAAGCAUAUUCUUUCUUGCUAAUGAAAUGGGCUCUUCUUUUUUAUGAAAGAUACUAAUCUUUUGCAAGUGUUGAAUUUUGAUGCUUAUCCAUUAGUCCUUUCUACAAUUAUGCUUGAUUGCACAAAUGAUUCCCACCAACAAUAAAUAUUAAUUAGUUUGCAAGUUAUAUAUUGUCUGAGUUUGUGAAUGAGAUUGGUUCGAAUUUUGACCAUUUCAUUUGCGAUUGGAUUAUUCUCCGAAAUAUAUCUAAUUAAAUUAGUAUUUUAUGUACGUAAUUCAUUCUAAGUUUCAAUUGGAUCAUGACCAAGAAUUUGGCAUUGGAAAAUUGUAAAAGUGAAUGACUUGAAUAUAAUUUAUAAUUCCCCACUCAAUGACGGACACACAUGAAGAUUAGGUUAAGCCCCCACCAAACCACUUUUUAAUUUUUAAAAUAUAUCGGAAAUUGUUAUGAAAAUGUAUAUUAAAUUAGUAUCAAAUACUUUUAACGUUUUUUAGUAUAUUUUAUAUUUCAAUUCACGGACACGUAAAUACGAUUUUAUUGAAAAACUAAAAAAGAAAAAAAAAACUAAGAAAACCCUUGAAAGCACAGAAACGCCAGCGAAGAGUCCAGCCUCGUUAAAACAAUUACGAACACGUAUAAUCAUCUUCAUUUUAUAUAUAUACAUAAUAGUUUCUUCGUUCCAUUAUUCUUGCUUCGUUUUUUCUUUUCGUUGUCCCAUUCUUCUUGUCUCAAUUUUCAAAAUGACACAAAUUAACAUCUAAUCAGAAAUUUUAAUUUAUGUAUUCAAAUAAAUGAAGGAGAAACUAAUGAGUUCUAAAUAUAACAUAAAAAUAGUUUAAACCAUGUAGAUCAUACAACAAAUAAUGAAAAAUUAUUCCUAAAAAAAACAAAUAAUGAAUAAUUAAUUUGUCUUAAUUCGUGUGACGAGAUAAAAAGAAAUGAGAGAAGAAAAAUGAAAGGGAUAGAGUAUAUGAAACGAGAAGAUAUAAAAAUGUGUAGCAUGUGACAUGUCGUCCAAUAUUUUUUUCCAGUAAAAUAUAGCUUGAUUUUGUAGCAUUGCCAUAAUAAUUAGAUAGUAUAGAGAUUUUUGAAAAUUGUGACUGAAGGAUGCCAAUUGAUUACAUUACUGAGAUAGAUCAUUUAGAAUUUUAGAGAGCUGGAGGCUCUAAAGAGAGAGGUAUCCACUUAAGAGAAAUUUCUCUACAUUAAAUUUUAAAAUUCAACAUUACUUUUUAAUUUAAAUAAAAUAAAAAAUUAUAAUAAUUAAAAUAAAAAAUUAUAAGAAUUUAAUUAUGAUUGAAUCGGAUCAAAUUGAAUCCAAAUGUACUCGAUCAAAUUAAUUAGAUUUUGAUUUUUUUUUAAUAUGGCACAUGCAUAGCAACUGUCUCAUAUAUCAGUCUUCGGCCCGAGUGCGGGGAUAAGAGCCCAACAUCAAGCUGGUCGGCGCGGCAACGGAUAGGAAUUGCAAAUGAAUAGAACUGUUCGCAAGCUAUUUGAUAUUUCACUCGAAAAAAGCUCAUUUGGAGCUCGAUUUAAUAUCAAACGAGUCGGAUUUGAACCUGAUUUUGAGCUCAAGCUUGUCAACACUUGACUCGUUUGAGCUCUUGAACACGUUCAGAUUCGAUUGUUCGCAAACAUCUUUAAAAGUCUGUUCACAAACCUUCAAUCGAGUUGGUGCAUGAGUUACAAACGAGUCGAGCUUGAGAUCGAGUAACCUAUUAUUAAUAUUAAUUUUUUUUUCUAAAUUUUUAACGAAUUCGAGUUUGAAUAUCAUAUAUACGAAAGUAUAAUAGGUCGAACUCGAGUUCAAUCUUGAAUUCGACAUUAUCGAUAAGUUAGUGACAAGUCAAACUCGUACAUCUAAAUAGUUAAACAAAUCGAGCUGAAGUCUGUCAAUAUUCGGCUCAACUCGUUUACUGCUCUUAGCAACAACAGGGAAGGGGAGCGAAUGGCCGCGCUGUGGAAGCUAAUGUACGUCAAAUCAAAAUCAUGUUAAAUUUGAUAAUUAUCACCCAUUAUCUGUACAAUAGUAGCAAUAAUUAUUUUUUAAAAAAUUGUACGUACAAGAUAGCCUUUUGUUUUAUUUUGUAUUAAUGCGUUCUUACUUAAAAUAGUUAUAUUUAGGUCGACCAAAAUUCUUGAUGAUCAGAAUGUGAAGGAACCCAUAAGUUUUUUGAAGCAAAAAACUAGUUUCAUUAUGCUAAGAUAAUUAAUGAUGUAUGUUGCAAAAAAAAGAAAAAAAUAUGUUGUAUUUAAAGAUAUUUUUCCAUAUUAAGGAACUCAUAAUAACUUGAUGUCGUAAGUCGUAACUGCUCAUAAUCGAAGGAUCACGUAUUUUGAUUAUGCUAAAAUAAUUUAUAAAUAUUCUUAUAGUUUGUAAAUCAUUAUAUAUAUUUGAACAAUAAUCAUAUAUAGUCUUUAAAUAAUCAGAAUAUAAUCUGACUGAGCUAUAAAAUUCAAAUUUAUCGAAUUUCCAGUACAAAUAAAAAUAAAUAAUUACUCAGCGUCUAUUUUUUUGUAACACACACACACUGGUCAUAUAUAGUAAAUUAUCUCUUAAUAAAAUUAUUAUUGAAGACGGAAAUAAACUGAUAGUAGCGUUUUAUGUAAGAAAAUGGCAUGAUUCACAUGCCACCUAUUUGAGGGCGGAGGUGGUGGAGCUUCACGCCACCGCAAUCGCCACCACCCCCAACCCCACCCAACCCCCAAUUCUCAUCUCCAUCAUUAGAUUCCACUUCCACUGCCCCUUUUUCUUUUUCCCCACCACCUAUACAUACAUUGUCCCUUGUAUGUAUCACCUUUCUCCCUUCCCUUCCAAUUCAAUCCGAAUUUCCUCAAUUGGGUUUCUCUCGUUCCUCGCCGUAAUCGAGAAAAACCCCAGCCGCAAAUCCCUCACCGGAAAAACAUGGGUAACAUAAGCAGCACCGGCGUGCACGGCCGGAGAAGGAACUCCACCCGCCGGAGCCACCCGCCGCCGCCGCCGCCGCAGGCUCCGCAGCCGGAGAUCACCGCCAACCGCUACGUGUUCGCGGCGGCGACGCCCUACCCCCCGUCGUCGCAGUACCCCAACCCCAACCCCAACCCCAACGCGCCGCCGCCGUAUUACCAGUACCCAGGCUACUACCCGCCGCCGCCACCGGCUGCGAUGCCCAUGCCCCUCCCGGCGCCGUAUGAUCACCACCACCAUCCGGCGGCGCACGCCAAUUGGGUUAACGGUCGGUACCCCUACGGGCCCAUGAUGCAGGCGGCGGCGCCGCCCUAUGUGGAGCACCAGAAGGCGGUGACGAUUCGGAACGACGUGAAUUUGAAGAAGGAGACGCUGAGGAUCGAAGCCGAUGAGGAAAAUCCCGGGAAAUAUCUUGUUUCGUUCACGUAUGACGCCACUGUGGCGGGAAGGUAUAAAAUGAUUUCUUUUUUCUUUUUUAUUUUUUUCUUGUGAUUUUUUGUGUGUGGAUUUUGUUGAUGAUCGAUGCAUCAUGUUGAAAUGAUUGGAAUGAGUUAAAUCUUGUGUAGUAGUUUCUGAGAUUUUGAGUUUGAGUAAUUCUAUUCUAAGUGGCGUGUUAAAUAGGUUUUGAGUUGAUGCCCUAACUCAGUCUCAAGAUGAUAGUUGAAUUAAGCAGUUGAAGGAGCGAUGAAUUGUGUUGAAUUCAGCUAAAGUUUGUGUCUUUUAAUAUUGAAUCUCGAACUAUACCCCAGUAUGUGGUCGCCGGAAAUAGUGUUUGAGUUCCAACUGCACACACACACACACAAAAAAAGAAUCAAAUAUUUAGUUGCCAACUUUCUAAGUCGUGUCGUAAUUGCAAAAUGGGGUAUAGUUCGUGAUAUAAUAUGAAGUUUUCACAAACAUUAGACACAAGUGCUUGUAGAAAUUUGGGAAGUUGUGGAAAGUGGGCUCAUGUGAAUUUCAGAGUUAUAUCUGCAGGGCUGGAAUUUACCUGUUCUGUUUGUAAACUUUAGAAGCUCGUUGUAUCAUUUUCGAGCAUAUGGUGCCUGAUUGGAAUUUCGUUCUAAUGCCUUUAGCGAGAUAGUAUCAUUUUAUUCUCCCAGGUUCAUUUAGAAUGUGCAGAUGAUGAAUAUUUCAAUACUACUAUGUGGAUAACGAGUCACACAGUCAUGAAGAUUAGCUUGAUGUUUUAUCGAUUAAUCUGAAUUCAGAUAGCUUCUUGUAUGCAGCAUUACAAUAAUUUUUUUUGCAAAGGAGGGUGAAGAUUGUUGCUUGACUCCAAUCAAAGAAAGCUUGCAUCCGCCGAUCAAGGUGGAUUUUGAACAAGGUCUAGGCCAGAAAUUUAAGCAACCCUCUGGAACUGGGAUAGACCUUUCAAUGUUUGAGGAGGGAGAAUUGUUGAAAGACGGGGACAUGGACAUUUAUCCAUUGGCAGUCAAAGCAGAGGCAUCGACAGAGGGUCAAAAUGGAAAUUCUGACAACGGGUCUUCAAACUCCCAGAUAACUCAGGCGGUGUUUGAGAAGGAUAAAGGUGAAUAUCAUCUAAGAGUGGUGAAGCAGAUAUUGUGGGUGAACGGCAUGAGGUAUGAGUUACAAGAGAUCUAUGGAAUUGGAAAUUCUGUCGAGGGCGAAUUCGAUGAGAACGAUCCUGGAAAAGAAUGCGUUAUAUGCCUCUCUGAACCUCGAGACACUACUGUCCUCCCUUGUCGUCACAUGGUACACUAAUUCUCUGAUUAAGCAUAUUCAGAAAUUUGUGACUCAGAUUAAUAUAUCAAGAUUCCUCUUAAUUGUUUGUAAAUAACGUACAUUCUUGAUCGUGCAGUGUAUGUGCAGCGAGUGUGCAAAAGUUCUGAGGUUCCAAACAAACAGGUGUCCGAUAUGUAGACAGCCAGUGGAGCGCCUUUUAGAGAUCAAAGUCAACAAUGGAGCCGAUGAAUAACUAAAAGAAAAAAGAAAAAUAGGUGAUGCUGCCGCUGGUUCUGUAAAGUUUUUGUUUGAUCUUAAAUCCUUUUUUACCUUCUUUCUUCGCUCCUUGUUUGUUUGUUUUGCUUCGUCUUCUUUCUCUCUUCCCAGCCUCGUCAUGUCCUACAAUUAUUUAGACUUUACUUAUAAGAUUGCUGUCUCAUCACUUAGGCAAAUGGAUGUUAUACAUAUAUUCAUUUCUAUCAAGAAUGAUUUUCAGAAGGUAUAUAAUGUAUGGCUUGUUGUUCACGAAGCAUUACACUUUGUUCUUCUACAAACUACCCCAAUAACUUUCUUUUCAUCCUAAUUCUUAGUUAGUUGCAUCUUUAUCUCCCUUAGUCAUAAUGUCAAGAGUAGCUAUAAACCAUAAGUGAUCGUAGUUAUUUCCUGCAAACAAGUUUCUUAUCUAGUCUUCUCCAAUAACUUAAUGCUGUGCUAUUUUCUGGAAAUCUAAUGCAAAUUAUGCCUUUAUUAUGCUAUAUGUGCAAUAAGGGGCGCGAUUAAGGUGAGCUCUCCUUGCUUUCGAUUCCACAUUGUUCUGUGCUUUAUAUAUGGUCAUCUUACGACGUUUCUCGUGUUGCUGGGCAUGAUUGAAGUUCCAUGGUCUAAAUUUGGAAGAUCUAUUUUAGUCCUUAGAUAUGUAUUUGGUGAUCUAAAAUCUAAAUGAUGCAUAAUCAAGUUGUUGCUGUUACUUUAGGUUGGGUUGCUCAACAUUUUGUGUUGGUUGUUGUGUCGUUUUGCAUUUGCAGUUGUAGAUAAUAGAUUCUUCACAAAGUGAUUGGUGGUGUCUUAAUUCUUUUAGUUUUUAUCUUUUUGAGAAAUUGGUUGUUUCAUCAUGAAGAAGCAGCUGAAAUGCUGAAUGACUAUUUUGUUUUCUAAUUGAAAAAGCAGGUGGGAGUGUAAUCACUUUUAUUUACUUUAUUGUAAGAGCGCAGAAUUCUAUGUAAAAUGCUCACUAAAAUCCCCCUUUUUUUGCUAACUUUGACACCAUUUUCUCAUCAAUCUUAUUAAACAAUUUGGGUGCAUAUGUUUUCAUCCGUGGAUAAUUUGGUUUUGUAAUAUUAUUACGAGGAAGGAUUGGUGUGACAAUUUUUUGCACUCUAGAAAAUAUGGGAUAAAAAAAUGAAGAUCACUAAAAUAUGAUGGGCUGUAUAUCAUGGAAAUGCGUUUGGAUCUUUUAUAUCUAUACUUCUAUACUAUAUACUAAUAGACUAAGGGCUAGUUUGGUUUCCAUGUCAGAAUUAACUUAAGUUAACUAAACUUGAGAUAAUUAUUAUGGCUCUAUUAGAUUAGUAUUAUAUUUUAUGUGUUUGAUAUCUAAGAUUAAAAACCUAGAUAACAAAUGGAUUGUUUGAUAUCAUUGUUCAACUUCAAGACUAAGAUACAAUUUUACAAAAAUAACCUUGAUAAAAUAAAAAAAUUACAACUCAUCUCUCCUAAUCCAUUUCUUCUAUUUCCCUCAAAUCACACGCACACACUCAGAUCUCUCUCCCUCUCUCUUGGUUCACGCAGUCCGCCCCUCUUCUGAAUUCCACCCCGGAUCCUCCUCCAAUGAAGAGCUGACGGUCGGCCAUCUCCCUCGCCUUUCCCUGAACCACCGAUAGCAGUGGCUGGCGAAGCCAAUCGCCGUCGGCCCAACGCCCCCUCGACUUCUCUCCAUCUCACUGAACAGGCCCAACACCCACCCAAGUAAAGGCGACAGUGACUCCCUCUCCAAGGUCCCCCCGUCACCUCACAGCCAUCGACUCUCUCAUCUCCUUCUACCCUUGGCAACAGCAAGGCGCCGCUGCCUUCCUCAAGUUCUCCGGCCACCGCACGAAACAGUCGCCGCCACCUGAACCCUCCCCUGCCCUGACUCAACUCAAACACACACAUACACACAGCAACGAGUCUCUCUCUCUCUCUCUCCCCAAUUCUUGUUACCUAUUCAAUCGUUUCUUCAACGCAUAAUCCUCGCGAAAGGGGUGCAGCAAUUUGCGAAUCGAAGCUUGUAGAUUGAUCAAUGGUUUCGUAACCUAGAAAAGAAGGAAUGGGGAAUCGCAAAUUUAUUUUUCACACGAAGAAGGAAUGGGUUCCGACGAGUAUUUCUCGACACGAAGAAGGAAUGGGGAAUCGUAAAUGAUUUUUCAGAUCUCAAAAAUGAUGGCAAAAGUGAGAAAGUUUGGUUUGUUAAUUACUACUGUUCAUUCUAAGAUAAAUAAUCGGAUAGGAGUGGAGAGAUAAAUUUGCCUAAAAGCUACAUGAGAAAAAGGCCGGGCCUUGUAUUAGUAUAGGGCCGUUAAGUUUUUUUUUAAAAAUACCAAUCACCAAGAUGACACUUAGGGGUGAGCAAUCGGUCGGUUCGGUUGAAAACCGAUCCGAACUCCUAAAACCAAAUCAUCCAAACUUUUAAAAAAUGUCAACCGAUCCGAACCAAAAUUCUCCUUCCAACCGAUCCGAUCCAAACCAUACAUAAACUUCGGUUUCGGUUUGGUUUUCGGUUUAUCCAAACUUUGAUAUAAUAUUUAAAUUUUUAAUUUUAGAAACGUAUUUCCUGUCAAUGAAAAGAAUAAAAAAAUUAACAACCUUACGUAAAUAUUAAUCAUAUAAAUACCUAUCAUUGACAAUAUAUUAUGAUAUCUGGUAUCUUAUAUAUAUAGGGUGGGGUUAAUAUAAAAACCCAUCUUAAGAUGAAAACUAGGAACCAAUUUAAAGCCAUUAAUUUAAAUAAAAUAGAGGCUGAGAUUAAACUACAGAUGCACAAUUUCGAUUGCAUAGAUGCACAGUUUCAAUUGCAUAGAUGCACAAUUUCGAUUUGCUUGAGUAUUUUGCAUUGUUGGUUUCAAUUGCAUAAAUUGCAUAUUUUUUAAGUGCACAUUAAAAUAUAAUAGAUGCACAGUUUCUUUUGUUGAUAAAUCCUAACCAUUAGAUCUAAUAUUUAAAAAGGUCAAGAUUAGGUUCCUAGUUCUUAUUUUAACUAGAGGUUUUUAUUUAGUAACCUCUUCCUACUAUAUAUAUAUAUAUAUUAUAACUUAUUAAUAAAAACUUACGGUCGGUUCGGUUUCAUCCUAAAUUUUUUAAACACAAACCGAUCCGACCAAAAAAAUUUCGGUUUUUCUAAAAUUAGAACCGAUCCAAAACCAAGAUAAUUCAAAACCGAACCAAACCGACCAAAUACCAAUGGUUCGGUUCGGUUAUUUGGAUCCGGUUCGGUUUUGCUCACCCCUAAUGACACUAGAUUAAUAAUCUAUCUAGGGCUAAACUAGGAAAUCAAACAUGCCCUAAGAGCCUAAGCAUUCUAUGGGACAACUUGUGGAUUGCCUAUUUUAACCCUAUUAUAUAUUUUAUAUUAUAUAUUUAUAAAAUAUAAAUUUAUUGUUAUAUACAUUUAUUUGUCACCCAAAUCUAUAAAGAAUACUUAUUGCAUUAGAAUUCUAUUUAUUCCAUUUUGAUAUACAUUUAUUUGUCACUCAAAUCUAUAAAGAAUACUUAUUGCAUUAGAAUUCUAUUUAUUCCUCAACCCUAAUUCCACACGGUUUGAUAGCCACACCAAACUUUAAUCAUUCAUCUCUCCAACAGUGUCUUUCUCAGACAUGAAAUUAGAAUUCUAUUUAUUCCUCAACCCUAAGUUAUAUACAUUUUGGCCAUCUUUUCUUUAAACGUAUAUAGGAUGGGCUGCAAAGAAAUAAAGUCAAAACCCAAAUCUACAAUUUACAAAAUUCUAAAUUCAAAAUGAAGAACUCCUAAAUAAGAGUAUAAAUUGUUUACAAAUUCAAAUCCAAGUGAAGAACUCCUCGAUAAGAGUUUAAACUAUCAAAAAUGAAUUUCGAAACUCGUCCAUUUUCAAAGGCAUUUCGUCUAUAAACAAGUCUCGAUGGGACAAUUUGUAGACAAUUAAAAUUAUUGACGAAUUAAAUCGUGCCAUGUGUAAAUUCAUGAAUUAAAUCAUGAAUGUGGCCAACUAAAAAGAAAAUGUGGCCAACUUUAAUGGGACAGAGGAAGAAACAUUUUUCUUGUAGUAUGAAUGUGAAUGAAAGUCGAGCAACAUGAAGAAUGCAUCACUUAGUUUUCAUAAUAUAGCAACCAUCAACCAUCACACACAAUCACCGAUAAGCAAACAGGGACAAUGAAGGAUCGGCGGCCUCAAACUCAUCUAUUCAGAAUCGAAUCAAAGAUGAGUUCAGUUGGCCAAACUAAAGCUUCACAUAUGCCAAAAGAUAAAGAAUAAAAUUUCAUCAUUUUAGGCACUGAACUCAAUCCCACAAAGAAAAAGAAAAAGAAGACAGAAAAAGAAAUUCAGCCGAGAAAUUUAAACAAACUAACGUCGUAAAGAAAUUAAUAAUGAGAAAUAUGAAGUGAAAAUUAAACAUGAGAAAAUAAUGAAUCCGCGAACUGAAGAUAAAAAAUUAAAAUACUAGCUAGAAAACAUCAUAGUACUAGAAUCGCGCUAUACACAGAUAAAGAAAAAAUGAGGAAAAUUAAUUAUAUAGUGGUGCGUUGGGAGUAUACCAUAUAGGUGGUGGAUGAAUCUUUUUGAAACUUGGAGGGUCGCAGGGAUAAUAGCAAGGAGACCAAGUCUUGUUACGAUAAUCAAAAACGCCAAGAUCGUGGCCGCCAUACACAUCAUCCGGCAAGUUGAAGCUGUUAUGUGUGUAGUAAAUGGAGUCCGGCUGCAACUCCGGGAACUCCGACGCCGCCACCGCAAACGACUCGUUGACUCCGACAAACAUCACGAGCCCAUCCAAGCUCCCCUCCAUGUCUCCCUUGCCGAUUCUAUGCACAUGAAAUCCAACUGUUCUCUCACAUUUUUUGUACCAGUUGAAAUAGCGCGUGACGAGGUAGAGGCGGUGGCGGCGGUCGUCGGCCACCAGGUAUCUCAUGUACCGCUCGAAGUGGAAACUAACCUCUCUCAUUUGUUUAUGAAGAAACUCAGAAUCCCACGACUUGACCUUCCACUCGAUGCUUUCUUGUACAACAUUCCAGCACUCCAAGUCCCACGGCUCCAACUCCCCGUCGUCGGAAUCAUACAUAAAUUGUUCUGCCAGCACGCACAGAAAUCGUUUCCGUGCGGGGGAGUAGACGAAAUCUUCGUAAGGAAAUCUGCCAAGGGAGUCCACACGCUGCGGCCGGGACGGCAGACAUAGGAAUAUGUAUCAGAGCGAUACAUCAUCAAGGCGCGGCAGUCGUCGUCGUCGGGAGAGGACGAGACGAUCACCUUGAAAGGAGUAAUGAUAAAGUCGGACGGCGGGGGCGGAAGAUCUAUGCGGCGGCCGGAGAGGGGAUUCGAGAGGAAAAAGGCCUUGCGGAGGCUGUUGAACAGAGCUAGCCAGCCGUGCGACGACCCCACCAACCUAGUUGCGGGGUCCUGCAUUACCUCUACUGCCUCUUCGUUGCCGUUGAUGUUGAAGCUCACUACUUCUCCCUUCACGGGGGAGUAUAACUUGUACGCUGCCGAAUUCCCUGACCGCGCCGAUGGAAGCAUCAACCAUGGCCCUCCUCCGCUGCUGGAGAGUCUUCGAGAUUGCUGGUGGGAGUGCCGCCACAUUCUGACCUAAUUAAAACACUGAGGUUAGGUCUUUUCAGAGAAGGAGCCCACUUUAUAAUCUAUAUUCUAUAUAUAUAAAAACGCUCAAUACAUCCAUGUUUAACUAAUUUCCCGCCAAUAAAGUACAACUAUUUGGAGUUUAAAAUUAUUUAGGACCAUUAUCUUAGGGCUAUUUGCAAAAAUAGGCCACUAUUUUUUGAACUUGCAAAAAUAGGUCAAUUAUUUUAGUUUUUGGCAUUUUUAGGCUACAUUUGAGCUCAAUUCAACAGUUAUAGGCCACUUUUUGGAGUCAAAAUGUGGCCCAAAAUAGCCUGAUUGAGUACACAUGUGGCCUAAAAAUACCAAAAAUUAAAAUAAUUGGCCUAUUUUUGUCCGAAAAAUAGUGGCCUAUUUUUGCAAAUAGCCCUUAGAUAAUGGCCUUAAAUAAUUUUAAACUCAACUAUUUGUCCAAUGAGUAACAUGUAAAGCUUGAAAAUCUGUUGGUUAAUCUCUUUGAUAACUGAGAAUUAUUCUUGGAGAACAAGCAUGCCUAGCGAUGACUACGUUUUGUUGCUCUAUAAAUGUGAUACAAAUUUGCAUUCAAACAAUAAUCAUAGUUGCUCUUCUCAUAUUACUAAGAAGAAGAAAAGAGAAAAAGGAAGAGGCUCUAUAUAUAAUCUAAAGGGAAGAAGUGGCGAUGAUGAAGUCAAGAUAUUAGGGGUUUUAUUUGUUUGAAUCUUUAUGUGUUUAAACAAUAAAAACAUCUACUCCAUUGAAAACUCCAAUCAGACGAGAGACAUAGAAACAAAAAAAUCAAAACCUUAUACUCUAUUCUGAAAAUCUCACCUCGCUUUCAAAAAAACCGAAACCGUCCAAAUUAGGGCCUGAUUUUGAGAUAUUGUUGGUGCCCGGUGGAUUGGUGAAUUUAGGCGGCGGCGAUGCGAGGUAGAAGCGCGCAAAGGCGGCUAUAGACGACGAGCGGUGCUGGUAAAAGAGCCGAAAGGGAGAGUUAAGGGUAGCAAGGUGACUUAUUAAUGUCGGCAUCACGACGACUAUGGGCAAAUGAACAAUAUGGCGGCAGGAAGAAGAAGAAGACAUAGAGUUGAUGAGAUGAAGGAAGAAGACCAAGACAGAGCGGCGCUUCUUCUUCUCAAGUAGAAGAAACUAGAAAAGAAGGAAAAAGUGGCGUAAAUUUAGAAUUGAAUUUAGGGUUACUCAUUUUAUCUUUUUUGAUAUUGUUUAAUUAUUUUAUAUAAAGAUCAUGAUCAUUAUCAUUAUCAUUAUCGUCAAGCUUGAUAAGCUAAAGUUCGGUCGUGUCUGUGUAUUCUGCAUGCAUAUGUGACAAAACAACGUACUCCCUCAGUCCCUCUCCCCACCCCCCCCCCCCAAAAUAAAUUUCUAUUUGUUCUUAAAUAUUUGUUCAUGAAAUAAACUUCUACUCUAUUUUUUGGACAAUUAUAACCUUUUUUAUUUCCUAAAUUUACUAUCCUUCACUAUUCAUGAGCCUAUCCCACAACACAUUUAUUACUUUUACAUGUUACGAAUUAUAAUUAUAAUUAACAUUUUAUAUUCAAAUUACAACAAGAAAAUUUUAUAAGAAUAUAUAUAUAUAUAUAUAUAUUNUUUCUUGGCAUUAAUGUAUACAUAUUUUGAUUUGAUUACCAAAUGGUUGUGUUUUGUUUCUUAAGAAUUGAAGCUUUUAUUCAUACCCAUCAUGGAGUGAAUAAUUCCAUGUCUCCAUACAAGUAAAGCACAUUGGUUAUUCUCUUAUGUGAUGAGAUUAUUUUUGUGUGUAGUUUGAUUUGAUUACAAAUGCAUGUGUUUUGCUUCUUAAGAAUAAAGCUUUUAUUGGGUUGAAAUUAAUUAACGAUUGAAAUUGUGCAUGUUCCCAUGAAUAAUUCCAUGUCUCCAUCCAAGUAACAAUUUUUAUAGACUAACAUAGGGAGAGGUUCUAAUAAAAACCUCUAUUAAAAUGAGAACUAGGAACCUAAUCUUGGCCCUUUAUGUUAAAUAUCUUGGUUAAGAUUAAGUUUCAAUUUAGCCGUUUUUUUUUCAAUUUUUAUUGAAACCAUCGUUUUUUUUCUUUAUUUAUUCUUUAAAGGAUAUUCAUGUAAUUUAACUUAUUUUUAGUUAUGGUAUUGUGAGAGUUUUAAGGGAUUUAUUGUCUCCCACGACUAUUAAACUAUUAAAUGUUGACCAUACUCUUUCUUAGAAGUUUUGUGUUUUUAAUCAUAGUGUUAUCUUUUAAAAUUUAAAAAUAUGGAGUUUCGAGCCUUUAUAAAAUUUGAACUUCAUUAUUUUGUACACUUUUGUUAAUGCACAAGAUCAUAUUUAUUGUUGCACAGUUUAGUGUUUAUUGUCGCACUAAUAAUAUAAAGAGUGGAAAAAGUAUUAAAUUUUUUCGGAAAAAAAAAAUUAAGCAUUGUUGCAUAAUGUAUGUAUGUAGUUGCAAGUUUAGUGGUUGUUGUUGCAUGAAUAGUAUAAGAGUGGAAAAAAAUAUUAAUAUUUUUUUAAAUUAAACUUUAGAAUAUUUGCAUUUUAUAUAUUUUAGUUGCACAUUCUAUUUUAUAACGAUAGAACGUUAUUUUAUUUAUUUUUAAAUAUAGUAGUUGGCGAGAAUUAUGGGAUUUAUUUUCAAUAUUUUCAUUAUUCUAUUAACAUUUCAUUUUUAUUUUUUUUAUUUAGUCACUUUGUGUUCUUUUUUAUAUUUCAUUGCAUUUUCUUUUAUAGAUUAACUAAAAUUUAUAAAGUAAUUAAAGGAUUCAAAGAUAAUAUUUUACAUAUUAACUUUGGUUUUUUUAUAUAUUUUAUUGCAUUAAUUUUUAUGAUUAACUAAAUAAAAAAUAAUAAAAAGAUUCAGAGAUAAUAUUUUUUGGAGAAAACGUAAAUUGCAUAAUGACCAUUUACGAGUUGCACACAUACUUUUAGUAUGCGGCUUUACUUAAUAUUCUUUAUAGCAGAACAUAGUAAUACGAGUUGCAUAGAAUAAAUCAAUUAGAUUUUUCGUUUAUUUCUCUGUAUAAGAAUAGUAACAUAAGGUUUGAUUUUGCAUUUUGGAAAUUGCAAAUGACCAUUUACGAGUUGCACACAUACAUUUAUUUGAUGUUUCACUUAUUAUUUUGUAAAUAACAUAAUAAUACAGUGCAUAGAAUAAAUUAAUUAUGGUUUUCAUUUAUUUCUUUGUAAGGUUUGAUUAUUGCAUUUUCCAUAAGAUCGAAUUGCACAUAACUUAUAGAUAUUAUUUUUUACUAGGUUUCAUAAUAAUUAUUCUGUGCAAUUUGAAAUAAACAAAAUGCAACUAUGAAAAGCAACUAACAUAUUUCUUAUUUCAAUUUUUAAGAUCAAAUUUAAUAAUGCAUUCAACAUCAUAUUUAAAUGCUAAAUAAAUAAUAUUUACAGUCACACAAAUGCUAAUACACAAUAAGACAUUGAGUAUUUAAUUUAUGAACAAUUUUUUUUAAAAGUGCUAAAUAAAGAAAAAGAUAGAAGGAUAUGUAGGUCCAACAAAAUUUGCACAGAUGAACGAGGAGAUGUUCAAAUAAUCAGAAUGAAAAAAAAAAAUAAACUUCCUUCAAAAAAGCAUCUUCAUUUGGGACUCAUUCAAAAAUGUAUAAAUUAACUUAUAAAGUUAACGUAACUUUCAAUUCUAAUUUAUAAUUGCACAUCAGUAACACAUCUUGAAAAUCGUCAUUUGAACCCCGAUAUACACUGGAAAGCUUUGAACGAACGUCUCCCUCACUGGUAAUAGUUGCUCUAACACCUUUAUUCACCAGAAAUUAUAGCAUUGUUGACUCAGAUCUUCUAGAAGAAUCGCCUGUAAUUCUAUAUUUUUGGAGGAGGAAACGACUUAAAAACAUAUAAUAUUAAUUGCACAAACAUUAUAGAAAUGUUGACAAACAUUAUUUUCGUCGUAUUAACUGUACCACAUAAAGCAUAUAAUAUUAAUUGGCCAAACAUAAUAAAACGGUAGAUAACAGUUUAUUUAUAUUUUAUACCUUCUGCUCCAAUAACUUCAUCUCUUGCGUCCUCGAUUGUCCAGUUGUGCAGCAGCUUGUUUCACGCGAGGUAUAUAUCUGCUUUUUGGCCAUGUUUAUAAGACGGUUAUAUAUAGUCAACAAAAUUAGCUUCAACUGUGCAACUAAUAAAUAAUUUCUAUCAACAACUCAACACACAAAAUUUCGUGCAAGUUGUAAGCACCAGAAAUGCAACAAGAAUUUUACUUUCACAAAAACCUCCAUGUGUGCAACUAAAUACAUCAGAAAAUGCAAUCUGGACGCCCUCGAUUAACCAUUUUAGCAUAUGCUUGCUUUAUACGAGGCAUAUUGAACUGUGCAACAACAAAAGCACUAUCAACUCUUAUGCUAUGUAACUCUAAAAGCAUAUCUAUGCAUUUAUAUUUUCACCUAUGCAACACAAUACACUGACUCAUGCAAUUUCAGAACCAAUUGCUUGCUUUACGCGAUUCAUAUAUCUGUUGUAUGGCCAUGUUUACGAAAACGUUGUUUCAGUUAAAGAAGAGCUUUCAUAAUUAAAACAACAAACAUAUCUGUGCAACAACAAAUUACAACUGUGCAACUUAAUUAUCUAUGCAUUUUGUGCAACACAUAUAUUAUGACCGUGCAACAAUGCUACAAACAUAUCUGUGCAAUUUGUGCAACAACAUAUCUGUGCAAUUUUCUCAUUAGUGAAUGAAAAAUCCUUAGAUGCUACAUAAUUAUCUGUGCAAGCCAAAAGUAUAUCUGUGCAUCAUGAAUUAUUGUUGCACUAAUCAAUUGUUUACCCACACACGCACAUCAAUUGUAUGCUUGGAGCAAAAUCUAAUAAUCAAGUUGAACAAAACUAAUUUGCACAGCAAAAUACAUCCUAGUUGCACAGCAAAAUUCCCAAAACUUGUACGAAACCUUAAGGCCCCGCGUAUACCCAAAUCCUCAAUCAUAACACUACCAAUUAUCUAUUGUAUCACAAUAUCAUGAUUUACAAGUGAAAUAGAGACCAUUUCGCACAUAAGAUUAACAAUAAUCGCAAAAAAAGAGUGAGAGACAUACCAGCCGCCGGAUUCUGAUAAGCUGUUGCCGAUGAUUGUCUUGAAGAUUUCGUGAAUCUAUCGCCGCCUGAAAUCUCCACUUACUCGCCACCGUCCACUGGAAUCGUCGACGCUGCCUCAAAAUCGCGACUCACAAUUUUGCACAGAUGAGCAGUCGACGCUUUGUGCAAAGAUGAUGUCUUUUUUUUAACCCUAGAAAGUGAAAUUGGAGAAGUUAAUUCAGGAACGUGAUUUUAGGGACAGUUAUUAAUUCAUUUUUCCUUUCACAAUUCUACCCUUUUAAAUUCUCUAUAAUUUAAAAUGAAAGGAACCGUGCAUAAAUAGAAGGAUAAAUCUCAACCCUUUAUUUUCUUCUAAUCAAAGGUUAUUAUUGGUUCUUAGUUUUCAUCUUAAGGGGGGUUUCUAUGUUAACCCCACCCUAUAUAUAUACAUAUAAUAUUGUGCUAUACAUCAAUUAUAUUUGAAGAAUGAACAUGUCUUGGAAGAAAAUAAUACUCCCUCCGUCCACUAAAGAACUUCCUAUCUUUUCUUUUUGGGACGUCCAUAAAAGAACUUCCUACCUAUUUUUGGACUAUACCCCACCACUUAUAAUCCUCUUACUUUUCACUUUUCACAACUCCCAAUAUUAAUUAUACUCCCUCCGUCCGCCAAGAUUAUGUAAAAAUUACUAUAUUUGGCGUCCGCCAAGAUUAUGUCACUUUCCUUUUAUGGCAAUGGUCCCACCAUCCUCUUUAAUAUUUUAUCCUUACUAACACUCUUUAUUUACAAAAAACCCACUCAAAAUUCAAUCUCAACCACACAUCUCAUAAAGUGGUGGGACCCUUUCUCCACUACAUCAAAAUCAUCACCAAUUUUAUUAAAUCUCGUGCCCAAGCAAUUUUACAUAAUUUUGGCGGACGGAGGGAGUAACACAUUUUCACCACUCUCAAUACACUCAACCACUUUUUAUCCACUCUCAAUACAUUCAACAAUAUUUUUUCUUAAAAUUCGUGUCACUCCCUCCUAGGAAGUUAUUUCAUGGACGGAGGGAGUAGUAUUAAAUAAUUUGAGUAAGAUACCCUUGAAUAAAUAAAUAAACCCAUUUCUCCCAUCUCCUUAUUUUUGUUUAAUUAAAACUUUUCUUUUAUUUUUCAGGUCGGUAUUAAGUGAAAAACAAGGAAUAGUUUUCCUCAUUUUCUUUUUUUCGUUUUUUGAGUUGAAGAACAAAUUAAGCAGAUAUGAAAUUUGCAUCAUAUAGGUAGCAAUCGAGUAAGUAAUAUGGAUAAAAGAAAGUGGAAUUCAUGAGUUUUGUAGGUAAAGAAAAUAGAGUGUACAACAUGCCGCCGCGGCUUUUGUCAGCCAAGGAGAAGGAUUGUAUAUUUAUUUUUGGAUAACAAUUCUUUUUAUUAAUUUUCUCAAAAAGAAAAAUUAACUUCAUUAUAAUAAAGAUUGUAUCGAGUUCCUUCUACAUAAGCAGGCCAGAGGAUAUAAGCACUACAGUUUCUACAAGAUUGGAGUGAAUGUUUGAAUGGUACAUCUCGUACAAAAGUGUAAAACUUCUAAUUAUUUGAAUAUUUUUGAAGGCCAUCAUCUAAAAGUUUUAAUUGUCAACAACCAAAUAUAAUCGCGAUUCGCGAGCAAUUUAUUUUAGCAGACUCUAGUAAUUGGCAAUAAUUGACUAAAUGCAAAAAGUUAGGAUCGCUAAAUCAAACUUUUAAUAUCAACGCCAAAUCAAAUUAAGCUAAAGCAUGUACUAAAUUCUUGCAAAUUGGCCACGUGGAAUUUUGUAUGAGAGAGAUUUAAAGAACACAUCAAUAUAUAUAUUAAUGGAUCGGAUCGCUUCUUUUACAAGUACUACUAAUGGAUCGCUUCUUUAAUUUAAAGAAUGGAUCAAUUAUAGUAUACAUUAAUGAUGUAUACAUAAAAAUAUAAUGCGAUCCGGAAACAACAAUAAUACACUAUCAAAUAGAGAUACAUUUCCUCAACACUUGUAUGAAUGAAAUAAAUGCACACAAUAGAAUCAUCAACAACAAACAAAGACUAAUUUCUCGAAAAUACUGAUCCUAACACGGCGGUAGAUCAGGCGGCGGCGCCUCAACCGACUGCAACUUCCCCUUUCCGUUCUCCACCACGAACGCCAUCGCGAAUCCCCACGAUAGAUGGGAGUCGAUGUGGCAAUGCAUCAGCCAAACUCCUGCAAACCAACCGACCGGAUUAACAGAAUAUACAUACAUAAAUCAUAUAUAUAUACCUCUCAAAACACGCACUCACCCGGAUUGUCGGCGACGAAGCGGAUGACGGCCCAGCCACCGACGGGUACGUUGAUGGUGUUGCGCACGGGCGGAUCCACGAGGUUGAAACCCGCCGCGUCUCUGCUCGGGUUGAAGUUGCCGAACCCCUGCCCCACCACGUGGAAGUGGUAGCCGUGGAGGUGCACGGGGUGGUCCUCCGUCGACACGAUGGCCGUGUCCUGCAACACGAUCUGCACCCUCGACCCGUACUUGAGCCUGUACAGCUUCGUCCCGCGCCGAGGCUGCCACAGCCCCCGGCUCACGUUGCCCGUGUAGUCGAACGCCACCGGGGGCACGCCCGGGAAGUCCACCGUGUACACGCCCCGGCGUUCCCGCUGUAGUAGGCCUGCAGGAGCGAGUUGCUCCGCGGCAGCACGAACGACACGUUGUUCAUGCUGGCCGCGAAGCGCGUGUUGUUCGGCCCCUGGCACCGGGGGCCCGGGGUGCAGUUCACCAGCCCUAACCCCACCGUGAAGAAGAGCUUCUCGUCGAUGUGAGUUGGGACCUUGUUCUUCCCCGGCGCCAGGCUCCGCAGCCGGCUCGUGUACGCGGUCACCGUGUUCGUGUCGUUGUACCGUGGAAGCGCCGGCAGCAGCGGCCGCGAGGUUGCGCCCUUGGUGUACUCGAGGAUGGCGGUUGUGGUGGUGUUGUCGAACGCCGCGUUCUGCGCGCUGUGGUACGCACGCGCCGCCAUGUAGUAGCGGCCGGCGGGCUGGUCGGCGGUGAGCAGGACGUUGGUGGUCUGGCCCGGGCCGACCAUGAUGACUCUGGUGGAGAAGGGUUUGUUGUAAACGGCGUCGUUUCCGACCACGGUCAGCAUGUGGUUGGCGACGGUGAAGAAGAGUUCUUGAUUGAGUGCGGCAUUGAUGACUCUCAGGAGUAGUGUCUCCCCGGAUUUGACGUAGAAUUUAGUAGUUUCUAAAAAUGAGAAAAGCAAAGAUUUGAUGAAAUGGAGCUAAUUAAAUAUAUGAUUCAUCAAUGCAAGAAUUGUUAAUAUGUGUUUGAGGUAAACCUUUGGAUGAGCAUCUGUAUAGGUCUCCUGGCUGGCCGUUGAUGGUGUAUGCUCGGAGACGUUGGGCGCCGCGCCGGUGAAAAUCGCCUGCCGUAGGACACUGAUGAUGUCUCUAUCCCACCAUUCUCCUAUUGAGGAAGAUGCAUGAUGUUAACUAUUAUUAGUGACAAAUUUGUAUAGAAACUUUAUUGUUUUUGUAUCUCACCAAGUAGUAUAGGUAGCUCUUUGUUAGGCUUGGGGAAAGGGUAGGGAACACCUAGUUUGGGGUAAAUAAUGAGGGCUCCAUAGACUGUGGCUCUAAGCCAUUUGCUAUGUGCGUGCCACCACAGAGUUCCAUCUUGAUUCUCAAUGGUGAAUCGGUAGGUGUAGGCGGCCCCGGGCUGAAUCGGGCACUGAGUCACAUACUCGGGCCCAUCAGCCCAAGGCGUUCGCAUCUGCCGAAUCCCGUGCCUAAUAGACAAGGGAAAGGGUGAGAAGCGAAGAGAUGACAUGUAUUUGUGAGUGAAAAAAAGGUCGCCAUUACCAGUGAAUGGUAACGUUGUAACGAGCAGUGUUGAUGACUUUGACGACGAGGGUGUCGCCGUCUCUCGCCUCCAGAGUGGGGCCCGGGAACUGCCCGUUGACCGUGAUUAUAUUGUGAGUUUUGCACAGCCUCUUCACUGGUGUUGAUUGAACCUACAAAUUAAGAGAGACAUCAACACAAUACACGUAUGUAAUGAGGGCUGCAGGUUAUUAAUUGGAAGCAUAUAUGCGUACAACAAACUGGUGGUGAUGAGUCUCUGCAUUUGCUAGAGAGAGACACAGAAUUGUUGCAAGAAAGAUUGCAAUUUUGCAUGUGAAUUGCAUGGUGGUAAUAAGAUUGAAGGAACACAUUUUUACUAUUGUUUGUUUUCCUUUGUAUGUUUCUCGGGUUAUACUAAGAUGCUGCAAGACUUGCCUUUUAUAUUGCACAUGAGAGUUGAAAAAUAGAACAAAAAUCUAAGGCUGGGGGUGGGGUGGGGUGGGACUUGGUUUGGGUCAACAAAAAAAACCAAACCUAGUCCAACCAUAGUGAGGAUUUGGUGCAACCACUGGUAUUAUUUGAACUUAACUAAUGAUAUGAUCAAAUUGGUUAUUCAAGGGCCCAAGGCAGAUAAACUCCCUCUCCUCCUUUCUACCUUAUAAUUAUAAUAUCUAUUUUUUUAAUCAAGGAAUUUACUAUUUUUGUCAAUAAUACAUAUAAAACAAUAUUGUUACAAAACACUGCGUACAUAUAUUAUCACAUAUUAUAGUGAAAUAAGAUUUAAAGAUGAACAAAAUAUUACUCCGCUUUAGAAGUCUAUCUUCUAUCAUCAAUUUAAAUUCUACUCAUCUCUAACCCAAAAAAAAAAUGAAAUAAAAAAGUUUAUCGGGUUUAUGUAAACCCACAACUAAUGAAACAAUUAAUAAUGUUCAUCAUUAACUAAUCACAAUCAAUAAAAAAAUUCUUCUUUUGUCCCAUUCACCCAAAUUUAUUGGUAAUCAUUGUUAACAAUUUGGUGCUUGGGCUAAACUGCCUCAAAACUGAGCCCUAAUUAAACCACAUAUAACUAACAACGCCUCUAUUACAACAAACUUGUAUCGUACGACAACUUAAUUUCUUGAUUUUUGCCCUUUUACUAUUUGCAGGAGUUUUAUAUGCAUUAGUUGUAAUUAGUUGCAAGAUUUAGUGUUGUUGUUUGGAGGGAGGAUGGAACCUUAUUAAUAAUUUAAACACACGCACGAAAACAGAAGUAGAAAUUUCUUGUUACAAGGAAGUCAUUCAUCUACACACUUUUAAUCUGUUGGGACCAAAAAAAUGAUAAGUAUAUGACAUUGAGUAAGUUAUCUUAGAAAUAAAAAUUUGUAUUUACAUUUUAGUUAAAAAAAAUGCUGAAUCGCAUAAAUAUAAGAAUACACACUUUUUUUUUCGAAAGAAAGAAUAAGUACUUUUACAGCACUGGUAAUGGUACAUGUGACACAUGUACAAAUUUAAUUUAAUAAAGAAAUUUAGAUACAUAACAAUUCACAUUCUUAUUUUUUGUUAAAAAUAAGUGCAUAAAUUGAUUAUUAUGAAAACUACAUUUUAUCGUGAGAAAUGUAAAUACUACAUCAUGUAAAUUUAUUAUAAUUGCGUGAAUUUAAUUGUACACAUGGAAAAAAAAUUGUCACUCAUAAAAUUCGAGCUCAGAUAUUGCAUUAAUUAAUUAAUUAAUUAAUUAAUUAAUUAAGGUGAUGCAUUCACCACAUAUAUUAGUGAUCGAAUAGCACAAAAUGAUUCUCACGUUCAUAUUUUAUAUAAUCAAUUUUCAUUUGAACCUCCUCAUAUAUAUACAAACAUUAUGAUUAAAAACAAAGAGUAAUUAGUAUUAUACAAACCACACUUAUUGUAUAAAAUGAGUCUAUUAUAAAUUUGUUAUGGAAUAUUAUAAAUUCGUUAUAAGAAAGUAUGAAUUCAGAAGAAAAAAAAAAUGGAAUUUUUGUCAUCUACGAGAUUGAAUCCUAAACUAUGAUUCGUUCAGCAAAAUCAUAAUCUCAUGGUACUUUUUCACGAUCUAGAUUUGAAAAUUGUUGUUUUAUAUGUAAAAUACAUUAUUUCAUUUGAACCACUUCUUAAAAUUCAAAAUAGAUAAGAAUAUUAUAGAUGUAUCAAAAUUUAUUAGAGUACACACUUUUAUGAUCGUAAUAAUUUAUUAAAUCAUAAAAAUUUCAAGUUCUAAUUUGAAAUAUAAUGUAAAGUUCAAAAAUUGUGUAAUCGUGACUAGUAUCUAAUUUUUAUGGGUGAGUCCCAGCCCAAUAAUAAGCAUGUUGUUGGGCCGAGAUUAUUUUUUACAUGGGUAAUUGUAUUCAACGGCACAGCCCAGCCAUUGUCUUUAUCAGGGUAAUUUUAAACACAAUCCCCAAUUUUUGCACUAUAGCCCCUUAUUUAAGAAAAUAAUAAAAAUAAUUAUGAUUGUAUCAUUUUACCCCUACAGCCCCAUUUAAAAUUUGUAAUAAAUUAUAAGUUAUAAAGAUUAAAUUAAAAGAAUAUUUAUGUACAAUUUUUCCCAGAUAAAAUUAUAUAACCCCGAUCCUGAUCUAAUAUUAAAAUACUGAUAAAUUUAACCCUAAUAAUUUCACUACUAUAGCCUCCAACAGAACAUAAUCGUGAGCCAGAAGACGCACGAAGAAAACUGUCAAAAUAAUUAAGCAAGAACAAAGUUAAACAUCAUCUUCGAUUUAGUUAUCUUGUGGUUUGAAGAUAAUUUGCUUUCUAAGAUGCAAAAUCUAAAUGAGAGUUAUGAAAACAAAAGAAAUAAUAUGUUGGGGGUACGUAUAAAUUUUUCUUUCCCAAUGAACUUAGUAUAUAUAUUUAUGAAUUUUGUUGCAAUUUCCAUGUUAUUUUGUGUGAAUUUCUCCGUGAAAUUCUAUAAUAUCAAGUUCUACAUCUCCCUGUUCUUAAUUAUUCUUUGGCGCGACCCAUAUAAUCAAAAAUUCGAAAUCAAUGAACCAAUCGACUUUGUUGUUCUAUUCUUAAUUAAUUUUGGUACAAUUAUUGUUUAAUCUAUUGAUAUAAGAAAUAUUAGGUAGAAAUAAAAACUUACAGAAUCUUGAAUCUCCUCUUUCACAAUGUAAAAAGGGUCUUGAGCUUAUGACAUAAUUAAAUCAAAAUAGAGAGUGGAGAAGAAUUAGAGAGAGAUAAGAGAGUCCAAGCGAAGAGGAUGUUGUGGUGAUGGUUUCACGGCGGCCUUUGUUGGGAAUCGAAAAAGUAAGUUGUUGUGUUCGCCAGAUCUGUGAAGAAGAAACGUAUGAGUUAUGUUUGAUGAUGUUCUUAAAUUUGGAGUUGGGGCUACAUAACUAAAUUAAGAAAUAAUAGUUGGAUUGGGGCUAUAUAAAUUUCAAAAUUGUACGUAAAUAUUCUUUCAAUUUAAUCUUUAUAACUUAUAAUUUGUUACAAAUUUUAAAUGGGACUGUAGGGGUAAAAUGGUACAAUUAUAAUUAUUUUUAUUAUUUUAUUAAAUAAGGGAUUAUAAUGAGAAAAUUGAAGGCUGUAAUUAAAAAUUACCCUUCUUAUUAUAAAUCUCCACAAUCAGUUAAAAACGGUUAAUUUCACGGUCUCGUAAUGCUAUACCAGAUGUCAUAUAUUGAGUAUGAAUAUUCAUCUAAAAAUUUAAAAGCAAAAAAAUUGUAAUCCUUCUUAAUAAUUUAUAUAUUCGACGCAUCAUUUCAUGAUACUUAGGAAUUUUAAUUUUGGAAUGAACUAAAGUUUAUGUAUUUACAUUACAUUUUUACAGAGUUGGAAAAGUAACGAAACUCAAUAAUAGAUUGUAAAUUUACAGUCAAUUAACCUCCAAAAAUAUGUAGUUUAUGGAUUUACGGUCAAUUAUUCUCAAAAAUACAUUGUGAAAUAUGAAUUUAUAAAAAGUUAGUUAAAAGUUCCAAAAACUCUUUCUAAAUUAAUAGAAACUUUGAAAUAAAAAAGUAUCUAGAUUUGUUGGUGAAAAUUCUAACUAGAUAAUAUUCAUUAGAUAAAAAAAUAUGUUGUUAAGGUUUUGAUCAUUGAUUUAAUAUGUCUUCAAUUAUAAAAUUAAAGCAGUAAAACAAAAUAUCAAUCAAUAGUAUAGAAACGAGUGUGCGUGUGUUGGCCAAACCGUAAGGGUUAAUGUCUAAGGUCAAAGUUCUUGGAUUCAAGUCUCUGUGAAAAAAAAUAAUAUAAAGAAACGUGGUGAAAC